rnacentral:lncRNA from 1 species
CUCUCUUCUCUCCUCGGCGUUCCUCAUAUUGCCACUGGUGAUCUCGUUCGUGAAGAGCUCUCCUCCUCUGGCCUCCUCUCCUCUCAGGUUAGAAUUUCUCAAUCGGCGAUUGAAUUUGUGUAGCUGUGUGUGGUUCUGUUGAUUUGUUCUUUGUUUAUUGUUCAAAUCACUCUCUAAUCUCUAUAGAGAUGCUUAGUGAAACCUCAUUUUGAUGUCUUUUGGAUGUAAAUGUUGAGUUUUGGUUGUUAGUCUCAUAUGAGGUCACAAAUGUCAUCAACAUGAUGUGUGCUAAGAUCAGUUUUUUCCUCUGAAAUGAGAAUUCUUUUGGUAUAAGGAGGAUCCAAGGAUGGAUAACGAAUUUGGGCUUGUAUUAUUGAGUUAUGUGAUCAGCCAUCACAGGUGUUUUUUAGAUGCUUAUUGUUUGUUGGUUGUGAAGUGGUUGGCCUAUUUAUAAUUGUUAAUCAUUGCUGCAUCGUGUGUAGCUGAAGGAGCUUGUUAACCAUGGGAAAUUGGUUCCUGAUGAAUUCAUAAUAAGUUUAUUAUCAAAGCGGCUCCAAGCUGGCAAAGAGAAGGGUGAAUCUGGAUACAUUCUGGAUGGUUUUCCACGAACUGUGACACAAGCGGUGAGCAUUGUAUUGCUUUUGUGUGUUUGAAGCUAAUGGGGGAUUCUCUGGUUGAAUAACCUUGACAUCGUCUCUGUUUUUUUUUCUCUGUCUUGUAGGAAAUACUGGAGGGAGUAACUAAUAUCGAUCUGGUGAUCAACCUGAAGCUUCGAGAAGAGGCAUUGCUUGCCAAAUGUUUAGGAAGAAGAAUUUGCAGUGAGUGUGGUGCAAACUAUAAUGUUGCGUGCAUUGAUAUCAAAGGUGAUGAUGAUAGUCCCAGAAUGUAUAUGCCUCCGCUUCUUCCUCCGCCAAACUGUGAAUCAAAGCUUAUAAGCCGAGCUGAUGACACCGAAGAAGUUGUCAAGGAAAGACUCCGGAUUUACAACAAAAUGGUAAAAGUAGAUCUUCUAUCUUCUUCUAUGAUUCAAAUUUUCAUAGAAUUAACAAUGUUUCUAUAUGUUUCCUCUUUCACAGACUCAACCAGUGGAGGAAUUCUACAAGAAGCGCAGGAAGCUAUUGGAAUUUGAAUUACCCGGUGGAAUUCCAGAGUCAUGGCCAAGGCUCCUUAGAGCAUUACACCUUGAAAACGAUAAACAGUCUGCAAUAGCAUAAUCUCUCUCUGCAUUGUAUGAUUGAAUCAAACAACUUGUACUACAUUCUUUGCUCGAGUAAUCUUCCUCGUGCAUAUAUGCUUAAGAUAGUCAAUAAAAGAGAUACAUGUCCCAUUAUGGUUAUUUGAUGCAUAUAUUAUAUAGUGAAGUUUCUUGGUGGAUUCUGGUCCACUAUAGAUAGUUGAAAACUCUUUGUCAUACAAACAGAGGUUUGACUUACAACGAAUUGUUUCUAUAUGCUUACCAAAAAAAUUAUGUAAUUCAAUAUCUACUAGUUAUGUCGACAAUCUAAUCGGCGAUUUGUAUAAUUAUAUACCUUAGGGAGUGUCGCAGUUUCUUAGAGCUUUGUGUCCUUCUGCUAUGAAGUUUGUGUUUUGUCCUUCUGUUGAUGAUUUCCGUCAUUAACUUGCUCCUUAGGUUUUUGAUAUGUAGUGUUCUGCAAUCGCAGGUCAGAGAGGCCUUGUUAAUAUGCCAGCACCAGAUUCACAUGUAAUAUUCACAAUUGGUUUUGAAGACCAAAGAAACUCCAACUGUUACAUACACUCUCUUGACUAUAUGAGAGUCAGAGAAAGAAGAAGACUGACUUGGAUAAGAUUCUAGGGACUGACCAUGACCGGCAAAUCUUGCUUCAGUUGCCUGAAAAGUUUCAGAAAACAAAUGGUGACUUAAUGCACCCAAUGGAAAGUCUAGUUUUCUACACCAAGUUCACUUGAUAUAUGCCAGAGAAACAGACCGUGGUGAAGGUUGUGCUUUAACUUGGCCAGAUUGAUACUGCAAAGUCGCCUCCAACAUGGACUCUGCCAUAACUGCCCUCUCCUCCAUCUCAGCGAGCGCUGCAACAGCUUCUUCAUAUUUUUCCUACACCAUAAGCAUUAUCAUACUGAGGAUAACUUUUUUUUGUCGCCUCGAAUACGUGUAUUCUGAGACUAAGAAACUCUAGCAAGAUUACAUCCUCAUGAAGUAAACAUGCCACAAGGUAUCAUGCUAAAGAAGAACCAGCAAGCUUCAAGUUUCUAGGAAGGAAUCAUUAGGCGUAACAAUUUCUAUAGCAAGUAUAUAAUUCAGUGGAUAAAUCAAACACUUAGUUGACCACACACACACACACACAAAAUAGAGGUUAGCAGUUAAUACUCUUUGAAACAGAUAGGUAACACACUUUCAUGAAUAGUUGUAGUCAAUGCAAACUUUCUAACCUGAAGUACUUCAGCAGCAUAUCUCUGUGCUGCUGCAUCCUGCUCAGCAAGUCUCCGUGCAUCUUCUGUUACUUUAUGUUCUUGCUCCAUUCGCAUCAAGACCUUCAUAAAUUUCAAGUGGUCUUAGAAUCACCAUACACUGAAUUGCAAUAGAAGAGAACUGAUUAAUCUGAGAAAUAAACAAGUUGCAAAUGCAAACCUGUAUCAUAGCACCUUCUUGCUCUCUCUUAUCAGAAACAAGUCUUCGAAGCUCUGUCACCUCUUUCUCUAACUGCUCAAUCUACCCAAAAUUUAUGUUCAGUAGCAUGAAACAAGUCAGGCUAACUCAAAUAGAAGGAGCAAGCAUCAUCCAUAUUCAUGACAGCAUAGAUAAAGAAAUAACUGAACGUACACCCACAUGCUCAAUUAGGAAACAGAGUUUCAAAUCACAAAUGGGAAUACCUUAGCCUUCAGUUGACGCCGAUUGUCUUGUUUGACCAUCUCCACGAGAGCUACCUCCAACUCUUCAGCUCUAUAAUAACAUAGGGAGUGAUCGAGGGAUAAUAAGGAGAUAUAUAAAAUUUCACGAGUGAUUUCAAUAUUCAAAGUCAUAUACUAAGAUAAGAGAUUAACCUUAGUAAAGCGGAUCUUUUCUCCUCAAGCAACUUGUGGAGUUCACCCUUCAACCAGAGAACCUGGAGUCGUUGUAAGCAAAUGUUGUUAUUAUAAGUUGAGAUUGCAAGUACUGGCUCUAAUGCGUACUUGUAUUCACAGUAGUGGUAUUAGUUGGUCCAGCUAAAGUUCAUGUAAGAAACUUUCUUAAUUGUUACUACCCAUCACAUUUAUCUUUCAAGUUCCUAGGGCAAGAUCUCCAACCCAACAGAAAGGAUGACACAAAUCACCUGUCCUUGAAGAUCUUGAAAACAAUCUAUCUCACCAUCCCCAGUCAGGCUAAUAAAGACGUCGUCUGCAUAACUGGAUCCCGAUUCAGAACGAGAUAAACUCCCAUUUGAUGAUGAGGCUUUGCUAGCUAAAACAGAAUUUGGGUCUUGCUUAGAAUUAUGUAAUUUGGUCGCAGGGCCUUUUGAAUCCCUCCAAGCUUGAAGCCCCUUUAAUCUUUCCUCAAAUGCAGCUAUUACUGCUGGCCUGUGUUUGCUUCUUAAUUCCUGCAAUCUACUUUCAUGUACACUCUGGUAACCCAUGCAAGCAGUGAAAACGAGCUGGCUGCUAUCAAAUGUUGAACCAGUCAUUGAUUGUAGCAAAGUAACAGCAUCUCCAGUGUCCUUGGUUGUAACCAAUGCAGGACCUGAUAUGGCAAGCAUAGAAAAUUUAGAGCAAUUCCAUUGAUUAUUACUUAAAUCAUAUGGACACUUAGGUUCAACCGGGUACCAUAAAAUUCCAUCAAUGCAAGUGCUGUUCUGAAAAGCAUAACACGAUUUCCUUCAAAUAGAAGCACAUCCCACACUCUGAGAACUGUUAUACCAAAGAAGAAAUUUUAGACUGACAUUCAGAAAACGUAAGAAUAUAUAAACAAUUUGCCUCUAAAAAUAAAAUUUUCAAUUCCAAUUUAUAAAAACCUGACCACUUUCCCAUGGAAGCAUAUUAAUGAAGAUGGAAAGAAACCAUGGCCCUGUAACACAAGCCACCUGGACUCCAAGAUAAUCUAGAUGAUGAACUGCAGAUGGACAGAAAUCACAAAGAGUGUUAGCACCAACUCCAAAUUUUUGGUAAGAUGAAACAAGACUAUGAAAUAACUAACCCAAUUUUGGAAAUCUCUCUCGAAGCAACUCCUCCAGAACUUGUUGGUCAACCUGGGGAAAGUAAAAUCUUUUAUGAUGAGAGCACUAGUCGGCCCUAAAGGAUACGAAAAUACUGUACAACAAAAAGAUUACUGUUUUACCUGGGACUCGAUCAUCUCUUCUGAAUAAUAAUCAUGGAAGUAGUCAUCAAUGAUUCCUAUAAGCGACCUUAAAAUUCGAAGUAAUAUUUAGUUAAAUUACAUGUUUGUUAAGAAGAAGAUUUGAGGAAUGGCCUAACAGUAGUUAAUAUCUAACCAGAAGAAAAGGAAGUCAUAGAUACACGAACUUCAUACAGAACCAAAGAGUUGGAUUGUCUUUGACAAACAAUAUUAGGCGUUAGAGAGUAGUGUCCGAACAUACCAAAAAGCAUUCUCUUCAGGCAUCAGAAGUAAUAAAAGUGCAGCGAAGAAAUUCAUUGCCUGCACAUGAUUUAUUUAAUCAAGAUAACUGAGAUGUUCAUUUUUGUGAGCAUGACACCAUACUAAAAUACAGAAAUGACAGUAUUUAAUAACCGAAUACCUGACAGUAUCCAACAGAGGGAUUAUGCCUAGCAUAUGCAGUUAGCAAUCGCCGCAGAGCAUCUCUGAAAUCAUCAUCUAGGGCAGGAUGACCUGGAAAUGUCCGGGGUAAAUCCUGUAAUGAAAUAAGCAACAACUUGAGAAAAAUGACCAAGAUCAACAGGAGUCCAGUACUGCACCAUUAGUUAAAAAAUUCUGGAUGCCAAGUAAUGGAGGAUAAUACAGUUGCUAACCUUUUCUAUCUGUCCUUUCCAUUUUUGCACGACAGCGAGGGGGUCUGUACUUGAACCUUUCUCAUCUGCAUGCUGCAUGUGCUCCUGCUCUAUGUCGUUUCCUAGACUAUCAGCAGCUAGCAGAUUUUGGUAAUAAUUCUUGACCCGACGUUUCUUGACUCCCGCAAAUGCUUGCCAGAGCUGAAUAUUUGAAUGUAUAAUUUCAGAUUAUUGAGUAGAAAAUAAGGAUAAUAAGAACAAACUUUCAAUAGCAGGAGAAUGCUAGACAAGAGAAGGAGAUAAUACAGAAUGACAGGAUUUCUUACCUCACCCCUCAGAGCCAUAGGUGCCCCACCAUGAACAAGAACUUCAAGUUCGUCUUUCCAGGGGCAUGCAGAUACUAGAGAAGUUGCGUCAGCAGCAGCAGACAUGCUGGAGACACUUGCACCAUCUGAAGAACCAUCCUGAAUUGGAUCUGAUCUCUCCACAUCAUAGAACUCGUCUUCAGAAUCAUUCUCAGACACACCCUUUGAAGAUUUGGUCUCAUCAGUUGAGGGUAAGGAAUUCAAUUUCUGCGCUUCUUGGUCACCAUUUGUAGAAUCCCCCUUCAUUUUGACACGGACACUCAUCAAGUCCUCAAUUGCUUGAAGAGAUGGUCUGAUCUCAGCCCAUAACUGAAAUUUGUGCACAUUCUUCUCUGCACUGGGAACUUCAUCUUCCUCUCUCGCAUUCCCAGGAGUUAAAUCAGAACUUGGCUUGUCAGUUUCUAGAUCUUUUCUUUCAGCACCCUUGUUUGAUUCCUCUUCUUUUUUCUUGUCACUCUCACUUGGAUGUACGUGAUUAUUUUCAGACGAUCUAUUCACGCCAGAUUCUGCAUGAACUUCCAGGAAAUUGUUCCACCUGGCUGACCUCUCCUCUUCCUCCUCCUGCAGUUUAUCAGCAAAAAACAGCAUUAAAUUGUUACUAAAUCAUGUAAAAGAAAUUUCCGAGUAGAAAAUAAAAAUUAUGGAGAUAGAAAGAACCUUGUAGAUAUCAACAUAUUCUCGGUAUCUUUGCACAUGCUGAGGCCUCACAGAAAAUCCAUAUGCAUCCCUGUUCAUAAAACCAACCACAUUAACUUCCUCAGUACUAACUACUAAGAAUAUUUCAGUUCCAUCCAUAAAUCGAACAAAAUCUCAGUAAUUUUUUUUGUAGCUUAUUGCAAUCUAACAAAUCUCACUAUUAGAUGAAAUCAAUCAUUGAUCAUUAGAUUCCCAACUAACUAGUGAUCUAAAAAGACGGCAUUUUGCUCAGCAAAUCGAGAGCAGAGAGACUAACAGAGAGAAACCGCAAUUUCAAAAAAAAAUCCCUCAAAUAUAGUAAAUUAGAAACAGAAACACAAACAGUUAAGCAAUGUAGCAAUAGUGAAGCUCGAAAGGCGAUACCUUUUGUGGUCAGACUUAGAAACGGCAUCGGCGAUCAUAAUUCCUUAGUCGGAGAACGAGAUCUCUCCGAGUAGAGGCGGUGAUAGUAGAAAAAGAUUGCUGACCGAAGAAGAAGAAGAAGAUCCGGUGGAGCAAGUAACACUAGUUGAUCAUCAUUACACGCGACUGAAGUUGAAAAAAAAAGAUGAAGUUACUACAGUGUCCGAGACAGAGACGAAGAAAAAGGUCCGAGAUUAUAGAGGACGUUAUUGUAUACUUUAAUUAUUUUCUUUACUUAUCAUCAUUUGCCCGAAACUUUUGUCCUUCUUUGGAAAUAAACUUUUACAUAGAUUAAUAAAUUUUGGGCCUAAAUCAACUAAAGCCCAACUUGUUUCGUGUUUGUUUAAAAGUCAUUUAUACCCUUUUUAGUCCACGUCACCACCGUCGUCUUUCCCAAUUUCUUUGAAUUUUUCCAGGUACCCUUAAACUUCAUCUUCUUCGAUUUUUACCUUCUUUUUUUUUUUUCUUCAAUUUUGCAAUCAAAAAUCGAAGCGAUCCAAAAUAGUAGCUCGCCCAUGCUCAGAUCCGGUCUCGCUUCGUUAAUCGUCGAUGUCAAUUUGCGGCGCACGUUACGUCCAUCUCCAACCUUUUCUUUUCCGGCGCAUCUUAGCCGCUGCAUUAUCACUUCCCGUUACUCCUCCCGUACAGCUCUAAGGUUUCCAAUUCGAAUAUCUCUCCACAACCACCGCCUUUCCUACUUUUCUUCAUCCUCUUCGUCGGAGCAAGGCAGACCAACUUCCUCUUCCCGAAACAGUUUCAGUGGUCACGGUCAGCUUGAUGGUGACGACAAUUCUUCACCGCCUCCGUCGCAAUCAUCUUCCAAAGUUCUUACAUUACCCACCGUAUUAACACUUGGUCGUGUCGCCGCCGUCCCGCUUCUCGUCGCAAGUACGUUACUUUGUUACCUCCAAUUGUUUUGGAUUCGAAUGUGUCACAGUAUUUGAACAAAUGGGUUUAAUAAGUUAUCAUGAUCCAUUCUGGGUUUGUAGAAUCAUUUCGUGAGCUCAUUUUUUUGGUUUUGCUUGAAAACAACAUUAAACACAGAUACACUUAAUCUUUGGCUAAUGUGGAUUCUAAGCUUUCCUGUUUGUUUUAUCGAGCGUCUAGUUUCCAUUACUUUAAGUUCCAAUCUUGUGGGAGAGGUGUCAGUUUUUUUGGAUUUUAUCUUAUGUAAAAUUGUUCAUUCUUUUGUUUUUGCUUGUAGCCUUUUACGUUGAUAGUUGGUGGGGAACAACUGCUACAACAAGCAUUUUCAUUGCAGCAGCCAUUACAGACUGGCUUGACGGCUAUCUUGCCCGCAAGGUUCUUUCUUUUUACCAUUAUCUGUGUCUUCGAUAUGUUUUCCCGCAUUUCACAUUGCAAUCUUAACGGGUCCGUCUGAUCAUGUACAAAUUUCAGAUGAGGUUAGGUUCUGCGUUUGGUGCCUUUUUGGAUCCAGUUGCAGAUAAGGUGUGCAGAUUUGUCUUCCUUUAAGCCCUCUUUGAAUUUUUUUAACACCAAAGCUUUAUUAUAGUUGAAAAAGUGAUCUAUGUAGACUAGAUACACAUAUCUCUGAUUUAUGUAUGUCUUGGCUUUUCAGCUUAUGGUUGCAGCUACAUUGAUUUUACUGUGUACAAAACCUAUCGAAGUUGCUGAAUUAGGACCAGUUCCAUGGUUAUUGACCGUACCUUCUAUUGCAAUCAUUGGUAGAGAGGUAAGAUUUAUAGCAUAAUUGAUUGUAAUUCCUUAAUAUCAUUCACUUGCAGAAUAAGUAAACAUGUCCUUAACUAUAUAUAAUACAUUUUUAGAUUACUAUGUCCGCAGUAAGAGAAUGGGCUGCAUCUCAAAAUGGAAAGCUUUUAGAGGUAAAUCACCAACAUCUCAUCUCUGAUAUUGUGGUGUCUAUGAGCUUUCUUAUUGUUUCUGUUCUUUUUGAAUCAUGAAAUGGCGUUGAUUGAUGCUUGCAGGCAGUUGCUGUAAAUAACUUGGGCAAGUGGAAAACCGCCACGCAGAUGACAGCACUAACCAUACUUCUUGCAAGCCGAGAUAGCAAUGUUGGAUGGCUCGUAGCUUCAGGUGCUGGCUUGCUUUAUGUAUCAGCAGGACUAUCGGUUUGGUCUUUAGCCGUUUAUAUGAGGAAGAUAUGGAAAGUACUAAUGAAGUAGUAUUAGCAGUAGUAAUGUAUUAUUGGUUUUGUUUUGCUUUGACCUGCAUUUGGAUAUAUGUAUUGAUGGAAAGGGUCUUCAUCGCCUGUACAAGAGCACAAAACUUGAAUGCUGCAACACUUAAGUAGUUUGAGAAUAUGUAGAUGAUUUUGCUUUGCACUUUUCCAACACAAUAUAGUGUGCAACAGUCUUGGUUGAGAUUAAAGCCUUAUAAUGAGUGUAUUGUAUAAACGAUGAAUACGUAUUUCCAACAUAUGGAACAAACAUUCUUUAUUCAUACACUGCAGUUUCAAAUUAUCGAACAAAAAGUCUACUUCUGAUUAGCUUUGUUGGUUCAAUCAUCUUUACUCAUAUGCAUUCAAUAUUAACUGUAAAAUGAUUCGUUUAAAUAUGCACAUGGAUUAUGCCUCUGACUUCUGGCAUCACUAGCAUACCCAAUGGUCCCUGUCAGAUUCAUGUUUCAGCAAAAUUAGGCAGAGUCAACAUCACGUCAAAGGCCAAAGGAAAUAAGUCAAUUCCCCAAAAACCCAUCUCUGGUAAGAAGAAUUGUUGAUUGUCUGUUUUGCUUAUUUCUAUGAAGUUGUCUAUGUAGAAUUCUAGAGUUCCUCUUAUAGACUUUGUGGCUGCGGACAAUGGCAUCAGUUCUCUGCAAGUAAUGUUCUCUGCAAGUAAUGCAUUUGUCAGCUUUUGGCCUAACAUGUUUACAAGGUGCGGAAACUAUGUUAAGGUUUGAGUCACCACCAUUAGUGAACUUGUCAACAUCACAUCAAAGGGCCUAGUUGUUCUGGUGAUUUGAAGAAAUGGCUUUCGUAAAGCAAAGUAUUACUAUGUCGCAGUACCAAAAGGAUUAUAUUAUGUUUCGAUAAAGAAGUUACGACUUUCAAUAAUCAAGACCUAGUAGCCAAAAAAAUUACAGAAGCUGCAACAGCUGUGGUAAACAAAAUGUCUGCAAUCUGCAAUUCAAUUCGUCUAGACAUUCUGGAAAUCCAAGAGCCCGGCAUUAGCUGCUGAAAUCCAAAUGUCCUUAUUCCAGGAGCAGAAUCCAGAUGUCGAAGUGGAAACAAGUUUUCACUGAAAGGUGAGAUGACUCGGAUAUCGGAAGAGAUGCAGCGGACCGUAUCUGCCUGAGGAUAGUAUUUGAACAACCGGUUCUGACUGUCAUGGAAGAAAAGAUUACCUUUCUUAGAAACCGCCACAGGCCUGCACCACAAUCUCCAUGUUAUAGGGUCAAGACCUCUAGAGAACAAAUAUAUAGUGUAUGUCUUGCUCCAUGUUUCGUCUUCUACAUCCAUGGUCCAUAUCUUUAACUCCCAAUAAUUAGGUGGAGCAUUCGCUAUGGCUAUGGCUAGACGGUCUUCAAGGUUCACUAGCUGGCCUGGCUGCGCGGGUGCAGGUGGUGGAGGAACAUCACGAAACUCUUCAGUAUGAAGAUCCAAAGCUAGUAUCUUGAAACCAGGUAUGUACUGCAACCAAUAGAUAGACCCAUUCACACACGCCGACUUCCUUCUAGCUUCCACAUAGUAAGGAGGUGGACUUGGCAGUAUCCGCCAUUCCCCAACGUUCAAAUCAAGAAUCUCAGAUUGUUUAGUAUCAAAGAACAUCCUCACUACUUUAUAGCUCCCAUUAACUUCGUCCCUACCGAAUCCCAUUGCCCAAUAUCCAGGGAAAAUGUCGAACCAAGAAUCUGCGAUUUCAAUAUCUUAAUUAACUAACAUUUAUCAGAAAGGAAACCAACUUUGUUCUUCUUAAGCAGAGAAAUUCUUACCGUCGGAAUAGAGGCGAUCAUAGCGGUCGGUUUUAACUGGAUCUGGACCGGAAGGGAAGCUGAGUAACUCUCCGGUGGAAGGAUUCAAAACGUUGAUCCAACCUGGUAGAGGGAUGCAAACAAGACCGUCACAUGUCAACGAGGGUCGUGUGGCGGCUGCAUCGCAGUGUAAAUAGAACAUCUCGACCUCUUCUUCGUCGUCAUUUAAUCGCCCCACGGUCCGGUGAUUUCCGGCCGCCGCCAGGAUUUGCGGCUUAUUUAGAACAGUAUUCAUAAUCAUACGCCUCCUCUUCGCGAAACUCCUCGACACCAGUAUUGAUCUCCAUUGUUUUGAGACAGUUUUAAAUUUGAGGAGCGAUUUCAAGGGCAAUCGGAGACAAAUUUCUUCCACUAGAUCGGCGGGAACUACUAGGUCGUUCAUGGGAUUAGGAUUAUUUUUUUCUCGUCUUUGGUAGGAUUUAAAUUAUUUUAUCUGAUAUAUAUUUACAGUAGUACUAGUAAGGAAGUUUUGAAAUUUUGGUCAAUAAUCUUUUCUUAAUCUGGGACUAACAUUAAAUAUACCUACUUGUUAAGGCUUAAAAUCAUUUAUUUUCAGUGAAGAUUAUAAUUAGAGGACCAAAACCAACAUUUCCACACAAAAAACAAACAUUGCUAACCGAGUGACCUAUCUUGGUGCCAAUAUAUCACUCUUAUGAUUUGUUUCUCCUUUGAAAUUAAUGGACCGGUUCAUAAUGUUCAGUUAGUGGAACAACAGCAUUGGCCAAAACAUCCAAGUUUUGAGUCAUGGUAUCAACCACAAACAUCUUGUAUAAUGAGAGAGUCUCUCAACAACAUUGCCAAUGACACAGGCUCAGAACUCAACGCCUUGGACUUGCCAUAUGACUAUAAUUAAUGAGAGUCUCUCAAUGACACUUCUUGCAACCGAAUGAGCCAAUGCAUCCCUCAAACCUUCAGAUUUCCGUUUGUCUUCGCCGCCACUAUCUCAUAGUAGUGCUCGCAGGGGAAGCCUCUUUCCUUUGGUACUACCAGAGAGGCUACUAUGCGAAGAACCGCUCUUUUGUUUACUCCGUUCUAAAUGUUCUUCUCCAUCAAUGUAACGGUCUAAGAAUUCACUCGAGCCAUUACUAGAACAACUUGACAAACUUCCAGAUUCUUUAAAUUGUCUUUCCGGAGUAAAACAUCUAAUUAUGCAUGCUUUUUGAAUUCUCAAUUGAUUGUACCAGAAAUUGUGGAGAAUCUGGUACAAUUUAAAGUUGGCAGCUACCACCACCUCCAAACAAACUGAACUACAACAUGGAAGGAAGGAUCCAACAUAUGCAUGUUGCAUGGGAUGGAUUCUAAGAAAUGAGUGUGGUCAAAUGGUAUGGAGCUAAUUAAGGCUUUUCCAAAACUAAGACCCAUCUUGGAGGUAGAAGCAACAGCCGUGGGCAUUGACGUCAACUUGGGUUCAAAGAGGCCUGCUUUAAAAGUGAUUCAAGCUGUUUGGUUCAAGCCAUUGGUUCUCCUCAAGCAUGGCCAAGACUUCAAGGCUUUAUAAAGGACAUCUUGUGGAGAAGGGGAGAAAGACUUAAACCAACAUCUUCUUUCCAAUGUCGUCAAGCUAAGCAACGUGCACACAUAAUUUCUACAAAGACAAAUCUCUUCCCUACCUAAUAUCUAUCAUGUUGUAGUGGAAAAUUCUACAUCAAAUUGGAUGUUCCAAUUAUUGAGCUUGAUAAGCAAAAAAAUGUACUUGGUAGUUCAUAGUGACUAAGUUCGAGUUAUUUAAAAGAUCACAUUUAUAUACAUUCUCAUCCAAUUUAUAGAAGUUCAAAUAAAGUUUAAUGUUUGUGCUAAACAUUUAUGAUAUUGAAGUAUUUUCUAAAAUUUAUUUAUGUAUUGGACUCACAUACGAAUGUGUAACAAGAAUCUAGUACCCACAAAUUGUUAACGUCUAAUUUUUCAUUUAUCACUUUAAAAACUACAACAAAUUAAAUAGUUUAUCAAAAUAUUUUAAUAAGUCAUAUUUGAGCUUAAUUUGAUAUUUGUUUUAAAUAUAUAUGUCAUCAAGAAAAAUCACGUACAUAUUUAAUUUUAAAUAAGUACCUAAUUUUAUAAAAUCUAACUACAAAAUUCCAAUCAUAUUUUACAUCAAAUAAAUGAAAAAAAAAAACAUAAGAAUAAUUUUCGACAAAUAUUGUUAUAAUCUACAAUUUCGGAGAGGAAUGAAGAAUUUAUCGACAAAUACUGUCAUACACAAGUAAAUUUAACGCUAUUUUAUUUUAUUUUAUUUAUAUAUAUAUAUAUAUAAACACAUUUUGAAAUUUUAGUUGAUUUAUUUUUCUUAGUAUAUAUAAUAUAUAUAUAUAUAUAAACACAUUUUGAAAUUUUAGUUGAUUUAUUUUUCGAGUUACUAAAUUUUUGUGUUGAACUAGUCUGAAUGUGUAAUUGUGGGUGAAAAUUUGUAUAGGUUUUCAUUAAAUUAUAUACAUAUAUAACACAUAUACUGUAUAUUGUACACCAUAAAAUUAAGAGAUGACUUUCGCAUAGUAACUUUUAUCUAUAUUAUAGGUCUUCACAUGACUUUUUUUUUUUUGAACAAACUUAGCACCAUAAAAUUAAGAGAUGUGCUUCAUAGCAAAGUUGUAGAGAUCUCGCGAAGACUGAAUACUGUUUAAUCUCGCGAAGGAGAAGGACGCUGAGAAACUGAUCAUUCAUAACAGACAAAAAUUUUCUUAUUUCACAGAGAGUUGGAGUACAUUGAUAUAAACUGAAAAACGUAAGUGCAGUAGAGUACUAGACAUAUACUAUGUAAAACGAAAAACAAAAUCAGAAUAGCUUUUUGUUGUAAGAUCCUCUCCACCAAUAACGAGAUCCGUUGCUUUGCUCUUAAAAGCCUUGAUAGCAAAGUUGUAGAGAUCGUCUGUGGACAUCUUAAUGAGUGUAAGAAUGUUUUCUGUCUCCAAGAUAUCUUUCCUAUCAUCAUCUAUUAUCAAACAAAAAGAAGCGUGAAACAUAGAAACAAAUAAAUCAAGUUCAAACAAAAACAAAGAAAAGACCAUACAUAGCCCUUUGGCGUUUGUGAGAAACUUCGAUGGCCCAGGGUGGUUCUUCAUCCAAUCAGAGAUGGUGUUGUAAGAUCGUCUUUGGACAUCUUAAGGAGUGAAAGAAUGUUUUCUGGCUCCAAGAUAUCUUUCCCAUCAUCAUCUAUUAUCAAACAAAAAGAAGCGUGAAACAAAGAAACAAAUAAAUCAAGUUCAAACAAAAACAAAGAAAAGACCAUACAUAGCCCUUUGGCGUUUGUGAGAAAUUGCGUUGGCCCAAGGUGGUUCUUCAUCCAAUCAGAGAUGCUGUUGUUCAAAUCCCAAGCUUUUUUCAGUGAAAUGGUAGCGAGAAGAGUUGCUGCGACAAGAGAAUACUUGUGCCUCCAGAGAAAGUUGCCCACUGUUAUGGAAAAAAUACAAAUAAGGGAGGGUAAAAAAUGGAAAGACAAAUAACAAUUUAUGGAAAGAAAAGAUUAUGCAAAGAAACUUUUGGUCAUUAAAGGUGUGGUUGUUGUGUUCCUCCUCUUGUCUGCGGCCAAAACAUUCAAGUAUGAACUGAGAGUCUGGUCAUCAACUGGAUAAGGCUUGGGUUAAGGAAGAACUCAUCGCACUGAGGGCAUAGAGGCGUGGUUUCCCCUUGUGCCAACAUUUGGCGAACAUAUCGAUUAAGGCACGACUGGCAUAUUUGGUGGUUACAAUCAGUGGUCACUAGAGGGCUAUCGAUCAUGCAAUGGUUGCAAAAAGCCAGAGGGCUAAAAGGAGAGAAAUCAUCUCUGAAUCUGAUUCUACCACAACCACAAAAUUAGCUAGCCAGAGAUCUACAUAAACAAAGACACUUACCACAAGGCCGACAUUGAACUCCAAUGAAGGAACCAAAGGACGCGUGGCACCAAGGAAUCUCUCAUAGUCUUGUCUAUCAGCAACAAGACGCUCCUCAUUCCACAGGUACUGAAUGAGGAGCAGUGUUGAAGUGUUGACGUCCGUUUCUAGAGCUGCGGCCGUUCUUUCUAUGGGAGCAAAGAGAUCGUCUAUUUGUUCCUGAUCCAUAACUAGCCCCGACAAGCACAAAUCACCAAUUAUUAGUCCGUACGAAAAACCUAGACAUCUUCUCCGAAUUCGUUAUCCUUUUUCUCAGAUUCGGAUUAGAUUCAUACCUGACGACGCUCUCUUCCUUCGCCGGUGGUGAAGAUUCUGAUGAUCUCCGAUCUGAGAAGAAAAAUUCAAAUCGAGAGGACUCUUCUGGUGGAAGAAGAAAAAAACAACGAAAUGAUCUUUUGGCGCUUUGUUUUAAAUUUAAAGGCCAAAAAUAUCUCAUUGUCGAAUAGAGGAUUAACAGAUGCGAGAGAAGCGAAAGAGAGAAACAACGAAAAAAAACAGAGACAAGGAAAAAAAAUGGAGUGUUCUGUUGUUGUUGUAACAAAAAUUGUUUGAGACCUUAAACAAAUGACUUUACUCAUUUGUUCAAACAAAUGACUUUACUUCAUAAUUGAAUAUAGCCCUGGGCAAAAAAACCAAAACCGAAAAACCGAACCGAACCGAACCGAAACUAUCUGAAUGUUUUGGUUUCGGGUGUCACAAAAUAAUUGAAUGGUUCUCUUUCUAAACUAUCCACGGAUAUCGGUUAUUAACCGAACCGAACCGAUAUCCAUAGAUAUCCGCUUUAAACCGAACAUAAUUUAUUUAUGAGGCCUAAAGCCCAUUUGUCUUCCCUAUCCAACUUACCCAACCCAUUGCCUAAUCCCUACCCUACUUACCCAACCCAUUAAGCACAAGCCCAUUGUGUGUGAUUGUGUCACAGGAAGAGAAGAAUGGAUGAUCAACUCAAGGACUUGAAGAUGCUUGUAGAAUCUAAUAAUAUUUUACUCUCUCUUUCUCUCUUUCUCUCUUUCUCAAGUCUCUUUUGAACUUGAUUAUUUUGUUGCGGUCUCAAGUCUAAACUCUUAAGUCUCUUUGAAGUUUGAACUUUGUUAUUUUGUUGCGGUCUCAAGUUUUAUUUGGGUAAUGGUUCGGUUAUUUGGAUAGUUCGGUUAUUUGGUGGGUAAAUAACCGAACCGAACCAUAUCCGAAAGUAUUUCGAUUAUUUUUUAGUUCUCUUCCUAAGUAUCCAAACCGAACCGAACCGAAAGCUAACCGAA